GCAUUCUGGGGGUCGUUUUGGCUUUUGGUUGCUUGCUUGGCCUUUUGGUUGGGUGGGUCGCUACUAGUCGGAUGGCUUUCGGGAAUGUCGACCGGGGAGGUGCAUGAGUGGUGUUUGGUUUGUUACGGGUGGUUGGCUGUCUGCUUGCGCAGCAACGUCCAUGCGUGCAUACCUCUUCAGUUUUGUGGCAAGACUUGGUUUGUCUUGAGCAUAUUGUGGGUUUCUUGUGUUGCAUACCUAAUCGAUGGUAAUGUGUGGGUUUUAUGAUGUUCCUUUUCGUCAUGCGUCGCUCAUGCGAUGUGGGAUGAACCUUGAAGCGAUCUUUGUGGUCCAUAUUUUUGUUGCAUUUGCAACGAUGAUCUGGCUUGUGAAGCAUCGUUUGGUUUCUUGCUUACGGAACUUGAUGUGGGCAUGGGUUCUUUAAGRAUCCUGAAUUUGCCCUCGUUAAGCUAUUGGCUUCUCUAAAACGAUAGCCUACCAUGUCUUGACUUGUCUUUUCAUGGUGGGUUGCAUCGA
rnacentral:misc_RNA from 1 species